UGGGGAAUCUUGGACAAUGGGGCAACCCUGAUCCAGCCAUGCCGCGUGAGUGAUGAAGGCCUUAGGGUCGUAAAGCUCUUUCGCCUGUGAAGAUAAUGACGGUAGCAGGUAAAGAAACCCCGGCUAACUUCGUGCCAGCAGCCGCGGUAAUACGAAGGGGGCAAGCGUUGUUCGGAAUUACUGGGCGUAAAGCGCACGUAGGCGGACCAGAAAGUUGGGGUGAAAUCCCGGGGCUCAACCCCGGAACUGCCUCCAAAACUAUUGGUCUAGAGUUCGAGAGAGGUGAGUGGAAUUCCAAGUGUAGAGGUGAAAUUCGUAGAUAUUUGGAGGAACACCAGUGGCGAAGGCGGCUCACUGGCUCGAUACUGACGCUGAGGUGCGAAAGUGUGGGGAGCAAACAGGAUUAGAUACCCUGGUAGUCCACACCGUAAAACGAUGAAUGCCAGUCGUCGGGUAGCAUGCUAUUCGGUGACACACCUAACGGAUUAAGCAUUCCGCCUGGGGAGUACGGUCGCAAGAUUAAAA
rnacentral:rRNA from 1 species